UAAACGGCGAAAGAAUAACGCAGUCAACAUAAUAGAAAAUGUUGAAAAUCACAGCGUCACCUCGUCGGACAAUGGCGUGCUACACAUAGCAACAGAAGGAGUCCAGUACGCAGUCGUGCAGAGACAGGCGGCCACACGUAG